rnacentral:rRNA from 1 species
UAGAGUUUGAUCCUGGCUCACAAUCAACGCUGGCGGCAUGCCUAACACAUGCAAGUCGAGCGAGAAAGUGUAGCAAUACAUGAGUAAAGCGGCGCACGGGUGAGUAACACGUGGAUAACCUGCCUCAAAGUGGGGAAUAACACCGGGAAACCGGUGCUAAUACCGCAUAUUCUGACGAGAUCUGCGGAUUUUGUCAGAAAAGGAGCAAUUCGCUAUGAGAGGGGUCCGCGGCUGAUUAGCUAGUUGGUGAGGUAAUGGCUCACCAAGGCUUUGAUCAGUAGCCGGUCUGAGAGGACGGUCGGCCACACUGGAACUGAGACACGGUCCAGACUCCUACGGGAGGCAGCAGUGGGGAAUUUUUCGCAAUGGGGGCAACCCUGACGAAGCAAUGCCGCGUGGAUGAUGAAGUAUCUCGGUACGUAAAAUCCUUUCGACGGGGACGAAACCGCAAGGUUGACGGUACCCGUAGAAGAAGCCCCGGCUAACUCCGUGCCAGCAGCCCCGGUCAA